rnacentral:rRNA from 1 species
AGUGAACGCUGGCGGUAGGCCUAACACAUGCAAGUCGAACGGCAGCACAGUAAGAGCUUGCUCUUACGGGUGGCGAGUGGCGGACGGGUGAGGAAUACAUCGGAAUCUACUUUUUCGUGGGGGAUAACAUAGGGAAACUUACGCUAAUACCGCAUAUGACCUACGGGUGAAAGCAGGGGAUCUUCGGACCUUGCGCGAUUGGAUGAGCCGAUGUCGGAUUAGCUAGUUGGCGGGGUAAAGGCACACCAAGGCGACGAUCCGUAGCUGAUCUGAGAGGAUGAUCAGCCACACUGGAACUGAGACACGGUCCAGACUCCUACGGGAGGCAGCAGUGGGGAAUAUUGGACAAUGGGCGAAAGCCUGAUCCAGCCAUACCGCGUGAGUGAAGAAGGCCUUCGGGUUGUAAAGCCCUUUUGUUGGGAAAGAAAAGCAGCAGGUUAAUACGCCGCUGUUCUGACGGUACCCAAAGAAUAAGCACCGGCUAACUUCGUG